UUCAUCCAAGGCUUUUCAAUGAGGUUUAUAACUCAAUCAAACACAACAACUAAUAGUAUUUGAUUCAGAGGAUUUAACUUUGAAAACCAAUAAUUCUCAAGCAAUUAAAAUUAGAUGCAUGGUCAAUGGAGGAAUCAAAAGUUAAUACCAUCGAUUUAACUAGGGUCAAUACCAAAUUGAGAGUUUGUGCACUAAAUUAGCCAAACAUAUUCAAUAAUCUAGUUGUUCUAAGACAUCUUGCAAUCAAUUGAUGUGAAUAAAUUCCUAGUAAUUAUGGAUUAAUUAUCUAGUGAGGAGCCAUAAAUUAAUACCAUCAAUUUGGGUGAUUAAAAUUCUCAAACUUAGUCAAUAAUCCACAUGCAAUUACUAAAAAUUACAAAUUUAGAAAAAUAUAGCAAUAAAUUCAUGAGAUGCCUAUAUUGAAACCCUUAAAUUCCUUGAGUGAUUUUCACAUUUAAACCCAAUUUAAAUGACUAGCUACUUGAAUCCAUCAUAAAAGCAUAUAAAAAUACUUAAAAUAAACCUAAAAAUAUUGAUUUGAUUCAAAGAAACAAGAGAAAUCUCGGAUUGAAUGAAAGAAAAUGUAAAUACUUGUAUUGAAACUUGAAUCUAAGUGAUUACAAUGAUAGAGAGAGAAAUAGUUACCUAAAUCCAAGCUAAUCUAAGAUAAAAACUAUAAAAUAAAACCCAAAAGUGGCUACUUUCGACUCUAUUGAAAAAUGGAAUUAGGGUUUGCUUUCGACUCUAUUUACAGGCUCAAGUUUCGAACCCUAGAAUUUUUCCAUAAAUUGCCUUGGCAUUCGAACGGCAGCUUUUGGCAUUCGAAUGCCCGUAACUAUUUCUUAGCCAUUCGAACUCUUUGUCUUUGCAUUCAAACGCCAAGCUAAAAAUUCCAUUUCAUGCUCUCAGGGCGUUCGAACGCUCUGUAUUGGCGUUCGAACACUAGCCAAACUCAACUCCUCCCUCCUUUUCUUCUAGCUUAAUUUUGACAAUCAUAGAACUCGAUUAAGCCAAUUCACAUUAGAGAUAAAGUUGUAGAUAUUGAAUUCUUCUCAUCAGAGUCAAAAGUUGUGAUCAAAAGAUAGCCGAAACUUCUUAUCACCGGUUUAUUCGUUUUGAACCUGCUUUGAUUAUUCUUUGCAUAUUUUUGCCUUUAUUAGCUCCUAUAACCUACAAAACACACACAAAACAUAAUCAAAUAAAUAUCUAACUAAAUAAAAAAAUUAACGCUAAUCUAAGUCUAACAAAGUAUGAAUUAAAGGCCUAUAAUUACACUUUUAUGGUGUAAUUAGUAGUCUUAGAAUGCAUUGUUUCGCAGACUAACCAACCAAACACAUUCUUAAGACACGUCAUUUUGCGGGCUAACCAUUGAUUAGACUGCAUAAUUGCAGUUGAAGUGCCAUUAAACUGACCUAAGUUGACCUUAGAUUAGUUUAAUUAUAUAUUUUUAUUGUGUUUUGUACUUAAAGUCGUGCUCGAGUUCAUUACAGAUAAAUUAUGAUAAAGAAGAGGAUUUGGAGCCGUAAAAGUGAUUCAAAGUGUGGGCACGCAUGUCGAAAGCUGUUGCCAAAAUUUGUCUCAAAAAAUAUGAAAGUUUUCAACCAUAGUUCGGAAUGGAGUAGAAGAUCGCGAGAAUUGGACUCCAAGAGUUUCAAAAUGGGUUAGGAAGAAAAAAAGAAAGAAUGUGCUUAGCAUUCCAACGCCUCUAUGCAGCAUUCCAAUGCAUAGAGACUUGAAAAAUUGAAGAAAUCAGAAAUUAACCUUAGGGUACAACAUAAAGGAUGGUUAGCCGAGUUCGAAGAGAGCUCCGAAAUUUUUCCCACAUGAUUUUCUAAGUACGAUGGGCAAAAUCCUAAGGGAGGGUUAGCCAAGCUUAAGCAAGCUCCAAACUCUGCCCAACGAGAAUUUGCCACCCUUAGCAAAAAGUCAUAACAAAGGGAAGGUUAGCCGAGCUCGAAGAGAGCUCCAAAUUUUGUCCCACGAGAUUUGCUAAGUAUGAUGGGCAAAGUCCUAAGGGAAGGUUAGCCGAGCUCACGCGAGAUCCAAACUCCGACACGCGAGGAUUUGCCAUGCUUAGAAAUAAUUCAAAACAAAUGAAGGGUUAGUCGAGCUCGAAGAGAGCUCUGAACUUUGUCCCGCAAGUGCUAAGCAUGACAGGCAAAUUCCUAAGGGAGGGUUAACCGAGCUCAAGCGAGCAACGAACUCUGCCCAGCGAGGAUUUGCCAAACUUAGAAAAAAUUCAAAACAAAGGGGAGGGUUGGUCGAGCUCAAAAAGAGCUCCAAACUUUAUCCUAUGAGAUCUAUUCGACUCCAAAUUUCUACUUACAGAUUUUCACUGAAGAUUUAACCAAGCCCAUUCUAAGAGAUUUAUCCGACUCCAAAUUUCUACUUAAAGAUUUUCACUGAAGAUUUAGCCGAGCCCAUUCUAAGUCAGGGCUUUGACUUGUAAAUCUUGCCUAAAUGUACUUGGGGCAGACACACACAGAAGAAAGCUUAGCAA
rnacentral:lncRNA from 1 species